GUGACCUGCGGAGGAUCAUUAAAGAGACGUUGCCCUUCGGGGUAUACCUCCCACCCAUUGUUUAUUAUACCUUUGUUGCUUUGGCAGACCCGGCUUCGGCCCACCGGCUCCGGCUGGUCAGUGUCUGCCAGAGGACCUAAAACUCUGUUUGUUAAUAUUGUCUGAGUACUAUAUAAUAGUUAAAACUUUCAACAACGGAUCUCUUGGUUCUGGCAUCGAUGAAGAACGCAGCGAAAUGCGAUAAGUAAUGUGAAUUGCAGAAUUCAGUGAAUCAUCGAAUCUUUGAACGCACAUUGCGCCCUCUGGUAUUCCGGGGGGCAUGCCUGUUCGAGCGUCAUUACAACCCUCAAGCUUUGCUUGGUAUUGGACAUUGCCAGUUUCUGGCAGGUCUUAAAAUCAGUGGCGGUGCCAUUUGGCUUCAAGCGUAGUAAUUCUUCUCGCUUUGGAGAUCCAGGUGGUUACUUGCCAAUAACCCCCAAUUUUUUCAGGUUGACCUCGGAUCAGGUAGGGAUACCCGCUGAACUUAAGCAUAUCAAUAAGCGGAGGA
rnacentral:rRNA from 1 species